rnacentral:rRNA from 1 species
UACGUAGGGUGCGAGCGUUAAUCGGAAUUACUGGGCGUAAAGCGUGCGCAGGCGGUUUUGUAAGCCAGAUGUGAAAUCCCCGGGCUUAACCUGGGAAUGGCAUUUGGGACUGCAAGGCUCGAGUGCGGCAGAGGAGACUGGAAUUCCUGGUGUAGCAGUGAAAUGCGUAGAUAUCAGGAGGAACACCGGUGGCGAAGGCGAGUCCCUGGACAACACCUGACACUGAGGCACGAAAGCUAGGGGAGCAAACAGG